AGAUGACUUUCUAAGUGUAUGUGAGUGUUCAUAGAAUGAAUGACUUUACAAUAUUUUUGUGUUUAAGUUAUGAUUAAGACAAUCUGCAGAUUGUCAGCACAGUGUUGUUCAGUGCUACGUGUCAGGGACUGAACAAGAUACCUAGAGAAGGCAAGACCUGACAUGGGUGUGGGAGAAUGGAUAGAAUUUGGACGAACAGAUAGGAAGAACAACAUGGCUGUGUGAAUACACUAGAAUGAGUUUAAUAGAAAAUGAUGAAAAGUGGCUGGUGCAAACUAUGUGUUAGGGAGUAUUGGAAAAUAAGGUUGGGUAGAUUGGGAUAACAUUAUCAAGGACCUUCAGGGAGCUAUAAAGCUUCAAAAUCAAAACAUGGAAUUAAGGAGCCAUUUGGAGAUUUUUUUUUUUUUUUUAAGCAGAAUACUCUUAUGAAUGUGAUAUUUAAACAGAUAGUAGGAGGGAAAACUAGAAUGAAAACGUCCAGUGAGGAAGCUUUUGCUAGAUUUAAAGUGACGAGGAUCUGUAUGAUUACUUGGAAUUGAAUUGGCAUUGGAAUAAGGAUUACUGAGAGAAUGACUGAUAGGUAAUUAUUCCCAGGUAUAAGCAUUUUUUAGUUAGAAAGAUACACUAUCGGUAGUCGGCAAAGCCUGAGUCCUGUGCUGUUGCUCUCCUCCCUGGCCAGCAUGACCUUCACCACUUGCUCCACCUUCUCAACCAACUACCGGUCCGUGGGCUCCGUCUGGGUGCCAAGCUAUGGCGCCCGGCCGGUCAGCAGUGCGGCCAGCGUCUAUGCAGGCACCGGGGGCUCUGGUUCCUGCACCUCCAUGUCUCACUGCACCAGCUUCCAGAGCGGCAUGGGGGUCGGGGGCCUAGCCACGGGGAUGGCCGGAGGUCUGGCAGGAAUGGGAGGCAUCCAGAACGAGAAGGAGACCAUGCAAAGCCUGAACGACCACCUGGCCUCCUACCUGGACAGAGUGAGGAGCUGGAGACCGAGAACCGGAAGCUGGAAAGCAAAAUCCAGGAACACCUGGAGAAGAAGGGACCCCAGAUCAGAGACUAGAGCCAUUACUUCAAGACCAUCAAGGACCUCAGGGCUCAGAUCUUCGCAAAUACUGUGGACAACGCCCACAUCGUUCUGCAGAUUGAUAAUGUCCGUCUUGCUGCUAAUGACUUUAGAGUCAAGUAUGAGACAGAGCAGGCCAUGCACCAGCCUGUGGAGAGUGACAUCCAUGGUCUCUGCAAGGUCAUCAAUGACACCAAUGUCACUCGGCUGCAGCAGGAGACAGAGAUCGAGGCUCUCAAGGAGGAGCUACUCUUCAUGAAGAAGAACCAUGAAGAGGAAUUAAAUGGCCUACAAGCCCAGAUUGCCAGCUCUGGGUUGACUGUGGAGGUAGAUGCUCCCAAAUCUCAGGACCUCACCAAGAUCAUGGCAGAAAUCCGGGCUCAAUUUGACGAGCUGGCUCGGAAGAACCGAGAGAAGCUGGGCAAGUACUGGACUCAGCUGAUUGUGGAGAGCACCACAGUGGUCACCACACAGUCCUCUGAGGUUGGAGCUGCUGAGAUGACACUCACAGAGCUGAGAUGUACAGUCCAGUCCUUGGAGAUCGACCUGGACUCCAUGAGAAAUAUGAAGAUCAGCUUGGAGAACAGCCUGAGGGAGAUGGAGGCCCCCUACGCCCUGCAGAUGGAAGAGCUCAACUGGAUCCUUCUGCACCUGGAGUCAGAGAUGACACAGACCCGGGCAGAGGGACAGCACCAGGCCCAGGAAUACGAGGCUCUGCAGAACAUCAAGGUCAAGCUGGAGGCUGAGAUCGCCACCUACCGCCGCCUGCUGGAAGAUGGUGAGGACUUCAGUCUUAGUGAUGCCUUGGACAGCAGCAACUCCAUGCAAACCAUCCAAAAGACCACCACCCGCCGGAUAGUGGAUGGCAAAGUGGUGUCUGAGACCAACAACACCAGAGUUCUGAGACGUGAGGCCAGCAGAAGCAGGGGACCCUUUAGGGAGUGGGAGGCCAAUGAAAAGUUCAGAGGUUAAAAAAAAAAAAAGGUAUACUAUCAAUGAAUGAUAUAUUUUUCAGUAAAUAACAAGCAAAAUUGUUACAAUGAUUUGCCAUUUUAAUUUUU